UCUCAAAGUAAAAGAUAUCUUAGUCGCUUACAUCAGAUGUAUUCCACUUCGCUCGCCAACAUGGAGUUCUCCAGGAGGAGUAACCUUCCAGAACAAAUGAGGAGUAAGCCUGCCUCUCCAGGGAUGACCACAGCACCCCUCACCCUGGAACAAGCAAGUCAGAAGUCCCGUGUUCUGGAGGCUAAGGCAGCAAGUCGAUACUGGACUAACUAUGUGGAUUGAGAAAGCGAAUGUAGUGUCUCACCUGCAUGAAAAGAAUGAAGAAAUGUUGAAACUCCCCCCAAAAUAAUUAAAUGGCAGAUUUCUUUUUCUUCAAAUUUAUGACAAGAAAAUAUGGUAUUAUCUAGUAAAUAAUAAUAUAAACCCAGAAAUAUGAAUAAAAAUCAGUAGAAAUAAG
rnacentral:lncRNA from 1 species